UACGGAGGGUGCAAGCGUUGCUCGGAAUUAUUGGGCGUAAAGGGCAGGUAGGUGGUCUCGUUUGUCUGGGGUGAAAGCCUUGAGCUUAACUCAAGAAGUGCCCCAGAAACGGCGAGACUAGAGUACUGGAGAGGGUCGUGGAAUUCCCGGUGUAGCGGUGAAAUGCGUAGAGAUCGGGAGGAACACCAGCGGCGAAGGCGGCGACCUGGACAGUUACUGACACUCAACUGCGAAAGCGUGGGGAGCAAACAGG
rnacentral:rRNA from 1 species